GAUGAAGAACGUAGCGAAAUGCGAUACGUAAUGUGAAUUGCAGAAUUCAGUGAAUCAUCGAAUCUUUGAACGCACAUUGCGCCCCCUGGUAUUCCGGGGGGCAUGCCUGUUCGAGCGUCAUUUCACCACUCAAGCCUCGCUUGGUAUUGGGCAACGCGGUCCGCCGCGUGCCUCAAAUCGACCGGCUGGGUCUUCUGUCCCCUAAGCGUUGUGGAAACUAUUCGCUAAAGGGUGCUCGGGAGGCUACGCCGUAAAACAAACCCAUUUCUAAGGUUGACCUAGGAUCAGGUAGGGAUACCCGCUGAACUUAAGCAUAUCAAUAAGCGGAGGA
rnacentral:misc_RNA from 1 species